UGGGGAAUAUUGGACAAUGGGCGCAAGCCUGAUCCAGCCAUGCCGCGUGAGUGAUGAAGGCCCUAGGGUUGUAAAGCUCUUUCACCGGUGAAGAUAAUGACGGUAACCGGAGAAGAAGCCCCGGCUAACUUCGUGCCAGCAGCCGCGGUAAUACGAAGGGGGCUAGCGUUGUUCGGAUUUACUGGGCGUAAAGCGCACGUAGGCGGACUAUUAAGUCAGGGGUGAAAUCCCGGGGCUCAACCCCGGAACUGCCUUUGAUACUGGUAGUCUUGAGUUCGAGAGAGGUGAGUGAAUUCCGAGUGUAGAGGUGAAAUUCGUAGAUAUUCGGAGGAACACCAGUGGCGAAGGCGGCUCACUGGCUCGAUACUGACGCUGAGGUGCGAAAGCGUGGGGAGCAAACAGG
rnacentral:rRNA from 1 species